rnacentral:misc_RNA from 1 species
AGCAGCCGCGGUAAUUCCAGCUCCAAUAGCGUAUAUUAAAGUUGCUGCAGUUAAAAGCUCGUAGUUGAAUUUCGGGACUAAUAUGUCGGUCGUGCCUCGGUACGUACUGGUUUAUUGGUUUCUCCUUUCUGAAGAACCAUGAUGUCAUUUAUUUGGUGUCGUGGGGAAUCAGGACUGUUACUUUGAAAAAUUAGAGUGUUUAAAGCAGGCUCACGCUUGAAUACAUUAGCAUGGAAUAAUGAAAUAGGACGUUUGAUUCUAUUUUGUUGGUUUCUAGGAUCGACGUAAUGAUUAAUAGGGAUAGUUGGGGGCAUUAGUAUUCAAUUGUCAGAGGUGAAAUUCUUGGAUUUAUUGAAGACUAACUACUGCGAAAGCAUUUGCCAAGGAUGUUUUCAUUAAUCAAGAACGAAAGUUAGGGAUCGAAGACGAUCAGAUACCGUCGUAGUCUUAACCAUAAACUAUGCCGACUAGGGAUCGGAUGAUGUUAAUUUUUUAAUGUACUCAUUCGGCGCCUUAACC